GUUCCUUGCUACAUGUAGCUUCCCAAAGGGCAUCUCACAACAUGAUAGAAGACAAGAAAACAUGCCUGCAAGCAUCUACUAGCAAGAUGGUACUCACAGUCUUCCUGGAACCAACCCAACAUUGGAGGCAACAUCCCAUCACUUUGCCAUAGCGGGAUGAUGAAGGCUACACAGUAAAGCAGAGCCAGGUCAAGGAUGAAGAGCAAAAUGGACGAGUGCAUCUCCCUGCCCCACUACGCUGGAUUUCGUCAUAUCACCUGCUUUGGCCUAUGGGACCUGAGUGAAGACAUUGACUGUGUCUGAGCCAAACCUUUCAAGGCUAAAUGCAGAAGUCCCUCAUCUGAACCGAAUGGAUUGUCCAAGUUAAUCCAGAGUCUGUCUGGGGCAGGUGAAGCAUGGCAGAAAAGUGAUGUGGAAGGUUUGCUGCCAGGAAAUACAUUGACUCCAAAUAGGGAGAGAUGAGAAAGAGACAGAAUAACAGUCUAGCAGAGCAAGGGUCCUAAGUGAUGCAUC